rnacentral:rRNA from 1 species
CCCUACGGGGCGCAGCAGGCGCGAAAACUUUACAAUGCGGGCAACCGUGAUAAGGGAACCUCGAGUGCCUGUAUAUGCAGGCUGUCCAGGUGUCUAAAACACACCUGAAGAAAGGGCCGGGCAAGACCGGUGCCAGCCGCCGCGGUAAUACCGGCGGCUCGAGUGGUGGCCACUUUUAUUGGGCUUAAAGCGUUCGUAGCUGGGUUGCUAAGUCUCUUGGGAAAUCCGGCGGCUUAACCGUCGGGCGUCUAAGAGAUACUGGGAAUCUUGGAACCGGGAGAGGUGAGGGGUACUUCGGGGGUAGGAGUGAAAUCCUGUAAUCCA